UUGAUGGAUUUGACAACAUAGAUACUAAAAUUGAAAUGAGACUGAAGCUUGGCGUGGCUCCUGUGUAAGGAUGGCACACAAAUUGGGAGUGCCUUCCAUGUUUUU
ensembl:snRNA U6 U6 spliceosomal RNA